rnacentral:rRNA from 1 species
CGCAAUGGGAAACGAGCCUGACGCAGCAUGCCGCGUGAGUGAAGAAGGUUUUCGGAUCGUAAAGCUCUGUUAUCGGGGAAGAAAAAAAGACGGUACCCAAGAAUGAAAGUCCCGGCUAACUACGUGCCAGCAGCCGCGGUAAUAUUCGUGC